AGAGUUUGAUCAUGGCUCAGAGCGAACGCUGGCGGCAGGCCUAACACGUGCAAGUCGAACGGAUCCUUCGGGAUUAGUGGCGGACGGGUGAGUAACACGUGGGAACGUGCCCUUUGGUUCGGAACAACUCAGGGAAACUUGAGCUAAUACCGGAUAAGCCUUUCGAGGGAAAGAUUUAUCGCCAUUGGAGCGGCCCGCGUAGGAUUAGCUAGUUGGUGGGGUAAAGGCCCACCAAGGCUACGAUCCUUAGCUGGUCUGAGAGGAUGAUCAGCCACAUUGGGACUGAGACACGGCCCAAACUCCUACGGGAGGCAGCAGUGGGGAAUCUUGCGCAAUGGGCGAAAGCCUGACGCAGCCAUGCCGCGUGAAUGAUGAAGGUCUUCGGAUUGUAAAAUUCUUUCACCGGGGACGAUAGUGACGGUACCCGGAGAAGAAGCCCCGGCUAACUUCGUGCCAGCAGCCGCGGUAAUACGAAGGGGGCUAGCGUUGCUCGGAAUUACUGGGCGUAAAGGGAGCGUAGGCGGAUAGUUUAGUCAGAGGUGAAAGCCCAGGGCUCAACCUUGGAAUUGCCUUUGAUACUGGCUAUCUUGAGUACGGAAGAGGUAUGUGGAACUCCGAGUGUAAAGGUGAAAUUCGUAGAUAUUCGGAAGAACACCAGUGGCGAAGGCGACAUACUGGUCCGUUACUGACGCUGAGGCUCGAAAGCGUGGGGAGCAAACAGGAUUAGAUACCCUAGUAGUCC
rnacentral:rRNA from 1 species